rnacentral:rRNA from 1 species
UACGUAGGGUGCGAGCGUUGUCCGGAAUUAUUGGGCGUAAAGGGCUCGUAGGCGGUUUGUCGCGUCGGGAGUGAAAUCCACUGGCUUAACUGGUGGCUUGCUUUCGAUACGGGCAGACUGGAGGUAUGCAGGGGAGAACGGAAUUCCUGGUGUAGCGGUGGAAUGCGCAGAUAUCAGGAGGAACACCAAUAGCGAAGGCAGCUCGCUGGGACGGUACUGACGCUGAGACGCGAAAGCGUGGGGAGCGAACAGG